rnacentral:rRNA from 1 species
GAUGAACGCUCGCGGCAGGCCUAACACAUGCAAGUCGAGGGAGAGGUUACCUUCGGGUAACCAAAACCGGCGCACGGGUGCGUAACGCGUAUACAAUCUGCCUUUCACAUAGGGAUAGCCCGAAGAAAUUUGGAUUAAUACCUAAUGGUAUAUAAGAGCGGCAUCGUUUUUAUAUUAAAGCUACGGUGGUGAAAGAUGAGUAUGCGUUCUAUUAGCUAGUUGGAGAGGUAACGGCUCCCCAAGGCGACGAUAGAUAGGGGUUCUGAGAGGGAUGUCCCCCACACUGGUACUGAGAUACGGACCAGACUCCUACGGGAGGCAGCAGUGAGGGAUAUUGGACAAUGGUCGGAAGACUGAUCCAGCCAUGCCGCGUGCAGGAUGAAGGUCCUAUGGAUUGUAAACUGCUUUUGUAAGGGAAGAAUAAGGAGUACGUGUACUUUGAUGACGGUACCUUACGAAUAAGCAUCGGCUAACUCCGUG